UGGGGAUGCUGACUUUUUUGCCCAGGUGCAUGACAUCUACAUCUGUAAAACAAUAUUCAUGUGCAUGAAAAACCCUAAGUCCCUGGGAUGACAGAAGUAGCUUAUGGAAGAGGAAUGAAGGCCAACAGCAGAGCCCCACCUCCUCACCUCUGGACCCAGGACUGUCUCCCUCCUUGACUCUCCCCACCGCACCUAUGCAUACUGUACACUGGGAAAGAGUCUCUCCUACCCCCUGGGAUCUCAGCACCUACACUGGCCCUACUCAUCAUCCCUGUCCUUGAAGUGUCUCCCUAAUCCCAAUUUAAACAGUGUAGUACUUUAUUGUCCCCUCAAGGCCUAAAUAGUUUGAUCUAAUUGGUGGUAAAGAUAAUGAUAGACUCUUCUAUUGUACGCAAAAUAAUGGGAUUCCAAAAUCACUGCAGAUGGUGAUUGCAGCCAUGAAAUUAAAAGACUCUUACUCCUGGGAAGGAAA